CUCUAAUCAUUGAUAUUAGGUCCAAAUCAACUAUUAAAAUUUUUCAAUUCAGUCCCCAGACUUUGGAUUCAGUCCCUUUUGACCAAAUUUUGGCUCAUUUUGUCCACUUCCACAGUUUUUUAUCGAGAUGCACCUAACAAAUGAAAUAUAUACAAAAUUAAGUCUCAAUUCAUUUAAAAUAACAAUAAUUACUUGAGUUUAACGACCGAGAUAAGUCAUUCACAUUUUUGAAGAUCCAAAACAUAUUCUAAAGAUCUCUUGAUUAAACCUAUGAUUAUUGAUUUAUAAAUUCAUCCCAAACACAUUAUAUUAUUGGUAAAUGCUUGUUAUAAGUCAAGAGAUUAUCAUUAGAAAUUCAAGUACAUAUUUCAAUAUCUCUUGCAUCAAUCUACAAAUCAAUACAUAUAAGAUCCUUUGAUCAAACACCAAAACAAAAUUCUACCUUCGUCAAUUAGCUUUCAGAUUUCUAAGGUUUUGAAAAGAGAUGCUUAGAGCUCUCGUGCUCAGAGAUGAUAUUCGCUCUUGUUGAUCCAAGCAGAGAGAAAAGUAGCUCAAACUUCUGAAAAGUGUGAGCGUGGACAACCAAAAAAAAUUCCUUGGUGAUUUACAAGUUAGACGACCAAAAUCAGCUAAAGUUUAGCGAUGUCUGAAUUAUUUAUAAGUUUUAACUUUUUAGUAGAUUUAAUUGGUUUUAGUAGAUCUAAUUGGUUUAAUUUCGCAUUUAGCGGUCUGAAUUAUUUAUAAGUUUUAACUUUUUAGUAGAUUUAAUUGGUUUUAGUAGAUCUAAUUGGUUUAAUUUCGCAUUGGAUCAAAACAAUGAUAAUUUCCAACAGGUGGCAUUAACGCAAUACAUUGGAAAAACUCUCAAAAUGCUUCCAUUUUUUCCAUCGUUUUCC
rnacentral:lncRNA from 1 species